AUUAAAACUGCUUUUCAUGAUUGACACAUGUAUAACUGUGUUUUUUGUUUUCUGGGUAGGAAAGGUACUUUAAAAUCACAUUUAACAGAAUUAUUAAUACAAGUUUUCCUUCGCCUGUAGGUAAUCAGUGGAGUUUUAUUAACAAUAAUCUACACACUCAGAGCUUAAAUAGAUCUUCUAAAGGCAGCAGUAGCCUUGAUAGAUUAUAUUCCAGAAAAAUCAGAAAGCAGCUUGUUCAUCAUAAACAGCAACUUAACCUACUAAAAGCAAAGCAGAAGGCAUUGGUAGAACAGAUGGAAAAAGAAAAAAUACAAAGU
rnacentral:lncRNA from 1 species